rnacentral:rRNA from 1 species
AGCAGCAUUCACUCACAGUGGUCUCACAGUGUUGCCCACUGAAGCCAAGCAGGGCUGAGCCUGGUCAGUAUCUGUAUGGGAGACCACAUGGGAAGGCUAGGUUGCUGCUGGAA